AAAAAGUAUCCCACUGGGGCCCAGUCUACACAUGGGUGCAGGUCAUGGUCUCUGUUUUUAUCUAAAAUGUAUUGUUAAAAUAUAUUUAAAGACUAAUUAAAUAACACACUUAAUUAAUUAUUAUCACAGUCUUCUGAUAUCAUUCAAAGACAGGUCUUUCUUAAUUUUGCUUAAAUGUAGGAUUUAUACAAGACUAUUACAUGAGUGUAGUAAUUUCUAUAGUCUUUGCCUGAAAUUUCCUAAUUGUUUUUAGUUUAUAAUGAUAAUAACCAGAAAUCCUACUUUUCUUUACAUGGAGUCCCCCACUAGGAGCAGCCUUCCAGACCUUAAGAUGAUGUGGUCACCAAAUGUAGACCCUAGCCAGAAUGGAUGUCCUGACCUACCUGCCAGGCAAAUUGAUGCGUGACUGAUCAAAGCUGUUGAGAAGACAGAGAAGUUAUAUGGAGUUUCUCUCUUGUCCUCUAGGCUGGAGUGCAGUAGUGUGAUCUUGGCUCACUGCAACCUCUGCCUCUGUGGUUCAACGAUUCUCCUGCCUCAGUCUCCCAAGCAGCUGGAUUACAGGCACCGGCCACCACACCUGGCUAAUUUUGUAUUUUUAGUAGAGACAGAAUUUUGCCAUGUUGCCCAUGCUGGUCUUGAACUCCUGACCUCAGGUGAUCUACCCGUCUCAGUCUCCCAAAGUGCUGGGACUACAGGCUUGAUGUAUUUUGUUUUUCAUAUCCACUCAGAGACUUUGAAUAAGGCCACUUUUCCCCCUAUUUAUUUAAUGUAUUGGGUCUUUAUUGCCUGUACCAGUCAUUUCCUUAAAAAUAGUGUGUUACUUAAAUGCCCAAGAUUCAGCUUACACAGUCAUCUCCCACUUCUUUGACUUCCCACUGGCGCUUCCCUCCCACAAAUUCCUUCCCUUCACUUCAGCCACAUUCCCCAUUCCAGAGCCAAACCCUGGACAAUGCCAUCACUUGAAAUUUGAAGUUACCGAAAUCAUUAGUUCAUACAUUCUAUUCUCUGAUAACUACCUCUACUUCUGGCCUUUUUGCACCCCUACUCCCUUGACACCUGCAGUUUCACACUGUAGCUGAGCCAGUCCACAGUUGAAUUGAACUCUUCUUUACCACCAUGCAUACUUAUCCAUUGUCUACAGUUCUCUCCUUAUUAAGUAAAUCCUAUUUAUCAAUUCAGUUGUUUUCACGCCAAUAGUCCAAACAUUAUUCUUCCCCCAUUGGCUUUUAAUGUUACUUAAAAGCCCUGAAUCUUGUGAAGACCUAGAAAUUUCUCCAUUAUUUGAACUUCCCAAUAUCUCAAGUUUCAGCUCAUAUUGCUCUUCUAUUUUCUUUGUAUGUUGCAGCCAUUCUAGGAUUAAUUAUAUGUCCUUGUAAAAUAUUUUUAACUCGUUGUCUUUAUACACAUAUUUCUCUAUCGAGAUUGACUACUUUCCCUCCCUUUUAAAAACUAUUAAUUGAAGCUUCUGUCUUAUAUCCUGUGCUAGGCAUGUGAAACACAUCAAUGAACAAAAGAAAGAAAAAUCUUACCUCACGGAACUUAGAUCUCAAUGGGAUAGGUACAAUAAUCAUGACACAUAAAUAAAUUAAAUAAUGUUUUAGAAGGUAAUAAGUACAAUAAGAAAGGGGCAGAGUAGGACUAGUUAAAGGAAACAGGAGUACUAGAGUGUCUUAGGUUAUAAUUUAAAAAUACGUGAAGGAGUUAGCCAUGAGAAUAUUUGGAAGAAAAGCAUUCCAGCAGAGACAACAGGCA
rnacentral:lncRNA from 10 species